CGACGCGGGGUGGAGCAGCUCGGUAGCUCGCUGGGCUCAUAACCCAGAGGUCGCAGGUUCAAAUCCUGUCCCCGC
rnacentral:tRNA from 1 species